GAUGAACGCUGGCGGCGUGCCUAAUACAUGCAAGUCGAGCGAAGCGGGGACGGGUGAGUAACACGUGGAUAACCUCAUAUAAGACUGGGAUAAAUUCGGGAAACCGGCGCUAAACCGGAUAAUUAUAGAUGGUUCCGCGGUGCAUUAGCUAGUUGGUAGGGUAACGUCUUCCCAGGGCAACGAUGCAUAGCCGACCUGAGAGGAGGAUCGGCAAAACUGGAACUGAGACACGGUCCAGACUCCUACGUGAGGCAGCAGUAGGGAAUCUUCCGCAAUGGGCGAAAGCCUGACGGAGCAACGCCGCGUGAGUGAUGAAGGUCUUCGGAUCGUAAAACUCUGUUGUUAGAGAAGCGGUAUCUAACCAGAAAGCCACGGCUAACUACGUGCCAGCAGCCGCGGUAAUAC
rnacentral:rRNA from 1 species